rnacentral:sRNA from 1 species
GGGCCGUAACUGGGGGGAGCUCCUGACUCCAACACCCCACCCAACUCCCUCCUAGGGAGAGAGAGCUGUCAACCUCCAAAACCAACCCAGGGAAGGAGUGAGGUCGAGGCCAAAACUUGGACAAUCUCUGCACAUCUUGCAGUUCAAUCUGGAGCCCCUUUGCUGUCUUUCCUUUUCCUGAACCUACUCUCAAUGUUGACAGCACUGUCCGAUUUCUGUGUUUGCCAGGGGCUUCUCGUGGGAGGUCGGCUCCAGCCCUCUCGAGAACCCUCCGGAGACCGUGGGGAUGAGGCAGCGCUCAGCCAGAGAAGCCCUGGAGCCCAGGACCAGCGCUUCAAGUGCACCGGGCGGGAGGCAGGGGCGCAGGGAGGGAGGCUCUGGACCGGCCGCCCCUGCUGACUAUGGCCCCGGUGCAGGUCAAGGCUUGGGCCCGGGGAUUUCCUUUCAAAGGUGACUUAGAGCCGCUUCAUUAGGGUAGCGCCCUCCCAGGCGGGCCCUAAUGGCGUGUUUGGCAGAGUCAGCGAAACGCAGCGCCCUGCGGCUCCAGCGGCGGGGGAGCGCCCUCUCCCGCGCCCUCGCCCUCUCCCGUGUGGGGCAGCUGCGCGCACGGGGCCAUUUGCAGCGCAAGCAGCCUAGCGUGCGGCCGCGGCGCCCAGGUCGGAAAGGAGGCGGCAUCAUGGAGCUGAAGAAGGACAUCAACGCCGUAUCUAUCGACAUGCUGCUGAUCGUGCACUCGGAGAAGCGGCGCGCCGCACAGGGAUUCCAAGGUGUUGGAAAUGGAGUCCGAAGAUGGCAGAAAUUAGAAGGAAAUGACUUUCACGAAAACUUGGUGGAGAAGCAGCACCCUCAGCAGCCCCAGGUCAUCACUUCCUACAACAGCCAAGGUUCCAGGGAUUCUGGCAUGGAUAUCUCUAAAGGCCAUUCUUCAGCCUAUCCCAGGGGACAAUUUAAAGUGGAGUAGGUGAGAAAGGCCUCACUGAGAAAGUGACAUCUAAGCAAGGAAAGAGGGUGUCACUCUGUGGCCCAGGUUGGAGUGCAGAGGUGCGAUCAUAGCUCACUCCAGCCUCAAACUCCUGGGCUCAAGCAAUCCUCCUUCCUCAGCCUCCCGAGUAGCUGGGACCACAGGGACACAACUGACUGUGGAAGUCCACCCUCGAGAUGCCAUGCCCCAGCUGCUCAAGAAGUUCUCCUUGGCUAAACGUAUGUAUGACACAGGUACUCAUGGUGGAGGGCUGGCAGAGAGGAUUGAAGGCAGCUGGUUGGGCCAGAUCCCAGCCCAAGCAUCUUCUGAGGGAAGGAGAAGAGUGACAUGGGCCUGCAAACUGGGAAAAGGCAGAAGCAUGACAGCUCUAUCCUGGGAGACUCUUUUCUCUACACCCAGCUACUGCUGAUUUUGCAUCUCUGGAACUAGUCAUAGGUUUACAAGGUGAUAAAAAUGGAAACACAAGACCCCGGCAACCUGGAGGGAAAGAUGCCCAUGCCUACCCCUGGGAUCGAUCUAGCCUGAAAUCCAUGUCCCUGGACCUGCAGCAGUUUGAGAAAUUGGAUAUCUACGCCUCACAGGUGACAGCCAAGAGUGGCCUAGACGAACUGGUGAGUGACCUGCUCCAGGAGGCCCACACUGACCUGGAAAGGGUCCGCGCCAUCUGGAUCUGGAUCUGCCAUCACAUAGUUUGGAAUGCAGCUUAGAGAAUGAGCUCGCCUGGCACAGAGUAUGACAUUGCAGCUGCUCAGGAGAAGGACCGCCAAGCCUUCAAACCCACUGACAUCCUGCGGACCCAGAAGACCAACUGUGAUGGCUAUGCUGGCCUCUUCGAGAGAAUGUGCAGAGCUGCUUGAGGAGCGUGUCAAGCAGGCUCUAGGGAUGAACAUUUCAGAAGUGAUCUGAAUGGUGUUGGUCUCAGGGGAGGAGCAGACAGCGGAGACUGCAGCCAGUCUGUACCAACAGGACCAGCCAGCACUGUAUCUCCCUGUCCCCAGUGCCCCGAGAUAAAAGCCAUCAAGGCUGUUUAUAUGCUCGCUGGAGUGCAGUGUAUGACCGUGCCUGGCUACUCCAAGGGUUUCGGCUACCAGACAGGGCAGAGCUUCUCGGGGGAGUUUGACCAUGCCUGGAAUGCUGUGUACCUGGAGGGAAGAUGGCACCUGGUGGACAGCACCUGGGGCAGCGGCCUGGUGGACACCAUCACCUCCAAAUUCACCUUCCUCUAUAAUGAGUUCUACUUCCUCACCCACCCUGCACUGUUCAUCGAGGACCACUUCCCAGACAACAAGAACUGGCAGCUGCUAAAACCUCCUCAAUCUCUGAGGCAGUUUGAGAACAACAUGUAUCACAAGAGUGAAUUCUACAACAAAGGGAUGCUGAGUGCCCACCCAGAGACUUCCAUGAUCAGAACAGGUGAGCCCGGAGCAGGUGCCAGUGUGCUAGCAGCAGGAAUGGAGCAUUUCGCACUGUCCUCCAGGAGCCCGCCUGAGACUGCGCUUUCAAGGCAUGCCCUUCCAGACGCAUGGCUUGUGAGCUUAGCACAAAGCUUGUGUGUGCAUGUGGAUGAGUGGAGGCUGCUGAGGCAGCCCAGGCCAUCAGGGCAGGGAAGGGCCAUAGGCCACAUCAGCAGGGACAAAAGCUCACUCACACUAGCAUAAACCCAGAAAGGGAUGUGUCUGAAGGCUGCAGGUUUCCUAGAACUUGAAGGCUGAACACACAGCCUGGCAUGUCACAGAAGCCAGGGCUGGGCACUUCCUAGCUGGGUGAGUCUCUCUGUUCACAUAGCAGGGAAAAGGACUGCGUCACCCUGGCUACACAUAGCCUCUGGGCUCAGGUCCCCAACAGAAGCUACUGGCCUGCUGUGUUCUCUUCCCCAACUCCUGCUGGAGAGAAUACAUGGCCUCAGCAGAGCUGGAAUCUGGGUGUUGGUGGUCCAACCAGCAAGGAUGGGGAGCAACAUGGGUCUCCCAGGACAGGUGGGGGCAGUCCCACCCAAGACAGAGAGUUGGGGCAGACUUCCUUAGGGAGGUGGCCACUGAGCUGGGUCUUGGGAGAGGAGAACAGGCAUAGUAGCUAGACAGAGAUGGACAUGUUCUAGGCAGCAGAGGAGAGGCGGGGACACAGUAAGCCCCCAGCCUCCAAACUCAGGCACCCCUGGAUGAGGGCCAAGCUCCAGCACCUCUGCCUGGCUGGCUCAGUACCCCUCCCUUCUGGAGGCGGGACCCAGCCAUUUCCAGCCCACUCCCCUGGGGCAGUAUAUGAUACCCAGCUUAGCCAUCUCCCAUGGCUGGCCUGGGCUGACAUGUGCUCUCCCAACCUUCACCACGGAGCCAUGGCAGCUGAAUAUGUUUGCACACUCUGAGGCAUACGGGGGCUGCCCUGGAGGGCCAGAACUGGUCACAAAAAAGCAGGGCCUUCUCUGGAAGAUUGUCUCUUAUGCCUCUCCAAGGCCUUGGCACCUGAUCCAGUGCUGGGCACACAGCCUGGGCACGCUGCACAGCCCUGUAAGUCGGGUCAGUCCAGCCUCCCACACCUCAGCAAAGGACUGCCUGGUGGCACCGUCUCUGCCACUGGGGCCUCCAUCCGCCCAGGACAGGAGGUCUGAGCUCACACUGACUAUUAGCACAGGGUGCCUGUGGGUGGGCCCAGAGCCCCUGGGGAGCUCCAACCCACAUUGCAGGGCAAUGGGGCAGCGGGGAGCACAGGUGUCCCCAAGUUAGUUCCAACUGACUUGUCCCUUCCACCACACAAUGGCUUCCUUUGCCAAGUUGCUGAGCUCUUGCAAACUCUUCCAACUCCAAAUACCUGGCAGCUCCUGCAGCUAAAAUAACAGCGUGAAGUUGCUCAAUUUGAGAAUCCAUUUCCUGUGCUUACAACAGAUGCAGGGCUUGUUCAAUGUAUCAUAGGCCAUGGAAAUAUCGGAAAGAACUGACCAGGUCAAAGCAACACCAAACUGAUGUCAUUGAGUGGAGUUUGCCUUUUUAAGAGACAUAAAAAUAUAAACACCAGAUUUCUUAAUUUAUAGAAAUCUAAACCUAAAUAUGAUUCCAUAUAUCUGA